rnacentral:rRNA from 1 species
UGAUCCUGCCGGUAUCGCAUUUCUCAGUUAAAAGAUUAAUCCAUGCAUGUGUUUGGCAUUGCCUGUGCAAUGCCUGCGGACGGCUCAUUAAAACAGAGAUGACCUACUCUCAGAAACAGACGGAUAACUUUGCUAAUUGUGAGGCUAAUACGUGAGAUAAAUCUCUUGAUUGCCCCAAUUAUUCCUAAGCUCAUAACAUGAAUGUUUAUUGGGUGAUUAGACCUUGUGUCUAUUGAGAAUGGGUCUCUGAUCUAUCAGCUGUUGACGGUUGUGUAUUGGACAACCGUGGCUUUGACGGAUAACGGGGAAUUAGGGUUCGGUUCCGGAGAGAACGCAUGAGAAACGGCGUUCACAGCUAAGGUUGGCAGCAGGAGCGAAAACUUUUCGAAUAAGCAAUGCUUGAAAAGGUGACUAUCCGUAUCAACAACUGCAAUCUUGUAGUUGAUUGGAAUGGGAGACUUUUAGACCUAGUCUCGAGUAGCAAGUUCAGGGCAAGUCU